GCUUUUGUAGCUUAAUUUUAAAGCAUGACGCUGAAAACGUCAAGACGAACUUUAAUAGGUUCUAAAAGCA
rnacentral:tRNA from 1 species